UCAGCAUGGUUGUAUAAUAAACAUGUAUAAUUAAGAUACUGCUUAAAAAAAAAAACAAGGAUGAAAUGAGGAUCAGUUGAUGCAAAACUAUUAAAUUGAAAAGCUGGAAUAUUUAUAAUUUUGUUUUAACUAGGUGACACUCUGAGAACAGGUCAAUCAUGUUAAUCAAUACAAAUUUUAAAUGGCUAUAUUGAUGUAAUAUUUUUUAUAACUAGAAAUACCAUUAAAUAAUCGUGACUUUUUUAAUUUACCUAAACGAAAAUAUUUAAACUUGAUGGCACUCUGAAAAUCCUGUCACUACACUAUAUGAAACCCCAAAUGUAAGUCAACCAAAAAACGACAUAGUAUGUACGUUAUCCAAAUUUUAGUGUUGCUUGUCAUUGUGAGUUUCGUGAUUGGUGAUAUAAUUUCUAAGGAAACUAGCCCACUUUCUACUAACAUGUCGAACUCAUCUCUUAAGGACUUUAAGCGUGUGAAGAGGGAAUUCUUCAAAAUGCGACCUGCUGCAUAUAUGCGCAAAAAAAGGGGGAAAGGGGGAAGUUGGUACAAGUGGAAGCCGAAAAGAAGACGACGUCGUAAUCGUGGUGGUAGAAGUAAUGCUAGAGGCUUAACUAAUAGCGAAAUUUUUUUUAUUAUUCCGUUCGUGACUAAUUUUAUGUUAUUUGGACUAUUAUAAAUAUAUAUAACGUUUUACUACUC